UGGGCCGGGACACAGCCAACUGUACUGGCAGGGCUGCUGAUGGGGUGUGAGGGGGCACAAAAGGGGCAGCUGCCCCGAGGCCUGGCAAUUUAAAAGGGCUGCCUGGGGGAGUCUGCCCCCAGCCCUGCCCCUUCCAUCCAAGAUCCCGCCCCUUCCGGAGGCCCAGAGCCACCCCUCUACACACACACACCUUGCCCAGGACCCCAGCCACCCCACAUACUGAAAGCCAGCAUUCUGUGGACAUCUAGUGUGUGAAGGGAUGCCUCCCUGUUGUCGGUAUGUGGCUUGGGAAAGAAUACAGGGACAUAGAUUCUGAGUGUCUUUAAUAUCAUACAGGAGUCAUUUAGGGUGUGUAAGGAGACGUCUGUGCUCUUUGAAAACAAUUUUAGCCCCUUGAAAGGUAAGUCCUCUACAGUCAUCUGAACUUCCCUGGGGAAGCCAGAGAGAUGGAACCAUGAAGCUCUCCGCAUGAUAAUGGAUGUGGCGAUGGAGCAGACUGCUGUAUCAGCAGAAUCCAGAGAAGCCUGCAGAGCUGUUAAGGAAACCUUCAGCUGUACUGGCCUUAUAUUGUUCCUUUUUGUCAGCUGGAAUGUGCUCAAUAAAAGAUGACAUCUGAGGAAAAAUGGUGU